AAACCUUUGAGCACUAAAAGCAUAGAAGCGGCCUCCGUCUUUUGUCUUCACUCGCUAAAUCAAUCAAUCCAUAUUGAAUCGGAGUUACCUUUUUUUCUCCCAUUUGAUUGAGCAUUUAUUGAGGGUUGUUACAAUCAAAAACCCUAAAUCCAGUGUUUCCUUUCAUCCUUUGCCUCCCAAUUGAAAGAACCCUAGAUCUCAUCUCUCUACCUGAAGUACUUUCAAGGGUAUCCAGAUGAGGCUUGGAUCAAAAAUUGAUAAAAUCAACAAGUUAGGCUUCCAUGUUGAGGUUUCACCAUCCUUGCCCUUUUUUAUUUUGUAUCAAAGGUCUUAGAUCUUGGUAUGUCAGGCCAUGUUUGAUGGAUAUAUAAAUAACAGGAAACUGUGGGGGAAAAAUAAAGAAAUUAGCGGAUGCUAUGUGGCGAACUGAGAUUGAGGUAUUGCUACUCUACCUUUUUAACGUGGGUUCAGCCUUCAAGUAUUCACUCUUCAUUGGCUGAUUAUCUAUUUUGGUUAGUUUGUGUUUCAAUUGUGUACCAGUGUAUUUUCUAUUUUAACUAUGUUACUUGAAGUCUAGAACAAAUCGAUUGCACAGUUCUGCUGCUAAUGUUCUUAGGGUUUCUUAUUCUCAAUUGGCUACUGUUGUAGAUGAAACACCCUAAUCUCAAUCCAUUCCGAUGACUACAAUAGGGAGUAUAGGGAUUUUCUCCAGCAGCUUUAGGGGAAGUCUUUAGUUGAAGAUCAAUAGAAGACUGAGUCAUGAAGGUUGUUGAAGGAACUUUCAACAGCAGGUCGAACCGAAUUAAAUGAUAGCGAACCAAGUGUUUUUCGUUCUGCUAUAGAGGAAACAAUUCUAGCAGAACACAGGUUUACCUGGUAGAGUUUGAAAGAAAAGCUAAAACCUUGCCCUUUCAUGAGGAUUUUUCGGUAAGUCAGUCUAACUUAUGGUUAGCAUUAGACUUACCAAUUUGAUGCACCCCUUGAAAUGGCAGCAAUUUAGCCUCUAACAAUAGGGAAGUUCUUCGGUUGCCCUUGAUAUACAUAGCUUGCAAUUACAAAUUUACAAUCAUUAAUUUGUUUAGUUGAAAUCUCAAAAUUAUGAUUAAUAACUUCUAACAAUGGCUCUAUGUUCUUGAAUUCCUUUUUUCCUUCAAUUGAUUAAUAAGUUCUCCGUUGUCGACGUUUCGGCACUGGUGAAAUUUAUGCAACAAUAGUGAAGCUCGACUUUUAAUACUGAUAAUGUGAUAUUAUAAAAAUCAAAUUUGGAUAUCAUAAAAGUUGAGAUGUCAAUGAGGGUGUUUAACAUCCAUCAUAUUAAGUUGGUAAAUGAUGAGUUAAUAGAUUUAUUACCCUUAAAACCUUUAAUAAUUUUCAUAUUUUUGUUUGCAAAUCCGGUCCCAUUAACAUUGUAGAGCUUGAAGUGCGAGUACCACUCUAUGAUUUGAUAGGUCCAGAAGAAGGUGGUUUAUAUCAUUUUUGUUAGAAGUAUGAUGACAGCCGGUAAGAGUGAUGAUCCGGUUGUUGCGAAACGGUCCCACAAAAAGUAAUUAAGUGUUGGUGUUCGAAGGUAUGUUGUGGCGGUUUGAUUCUUUCGUUUCUUUUUUUCAGUGUUUUGGGUUAAUUUGGUGAUUUGGUUUCUUUUAUUGUGGGUAUUAUGGGUCAUCUUUUGUUUAGAAUUUAGUGAAGGAGAGCUUAUGGGACUAAAAAUCCAGAAAUUUGUGGGUCUGAGAAGUUUAUAUCAUGGCAUUUUAGUGGUGGAUUUGGGCAAAAAUCACAAGUUUUUUAGUUGUUACCUGUGGCCCUAUUUGGUGUCCAUUUUGUCCAGGUUGUUAUGCCUCAUGUGGGCCAGUUUUAUCUUUUAUAAAUUGGCCAAUCUUCUAUCAGUUUAGACCAGCUCCAAUCCGUGAAAAGAGUUGGGUAUGUUUGAUGGUGUUUAUUGGUUUUGAUGGCCCACCACCUGAUUUUAUUAGUUGGGUGGAAGGGGUUUAAUAGACCCGUUAUAUCAAUUUUUUGUUGGGUAGGGGCUGCGUUUUUUUUAACCACCAGAUGGCGGCUUUUCAUCGUGUAAGAAAGUGGACCAGAAAAGUCAAAACCUUUUUUGUGAAAGGUUAUGUCUUUAUUCCAAUAAUUACAAGUAAGUUGAAAAACUUCUAAAUUUCCUUUCCUUUAAGAAACUCGUUUUCUAAAAGAAAACCAAGUUUUUGAUGGGUGAGUUACGAUUUUGUGAGCCUAGGUUUCUAAUUGCACCUUUUUAUGUUGCCCGUUCUUAUUUCACAAUACACACAUAUCAUAUCUAUACCUAUUUAAUACAUAAUCCAAUUGUAUUUUAUCUCAAAAUAUCCUAUUAAAAUACCGAAUCUUAAAAGAAUGGACUAUGAUGCUUAAGAUAAACUCAAUAAAGGUGAUAUUUAUUUACCAACUUCAAAUUAAUUUGAUGUUCAGCUUGGUCUUCUAAUUAUAGGUUUUCGGACAAGUGAGGUGGUUAGUAAUAGUAACACGGAGUACCCUCUUGGCUGCAGUAGACUUGAAAGCUUAAUUGACUAUAGCAUACAUGACUAUUAAAAUCCGGUGAAGUUUACGACGCAGGAACACAAAGUUGUAACUAAAGUGGAUGUGCGCGCGGUCUUACUCAUGCUCCUGGAUGUUGUUAUGUUUAUCUUUAAAUAAAGUUGUAAACUUUCAGACAAUGUGUUGUCUCGUGAUGUAAACACUUAAACCAUGUUUUCUGUUAUGUAAUGGUGUUUGAAGUUAUUUUUACGAGCAUGUAGUAUGUUUACCUUUCGUA